AUGAAAAUUGUACCUUACAGAAAAUUAUUUGGUUGCAAGAAAAAUGACAAGUUUAACUUGGGUAUUGCAGGGGCCACUAACAAGGUGGCGACCCUGAAGGAGGCGGUGGCCGCGGCCGAACGCAAUGCAGCCACGGAGCGCACCAAGCGAGAGAGGCAGGAGGCGCAGGUGGCGGAGGUACAGCAAGAGCUCCAGGAUCUCGUGAAAAAACAUGAGAGCUUGGAGCGUGACUCGAAGACUCGAGAGUCUGAGCUUGCAACGGCUCUUGAGAGUGCCAAAGCCGCUAAGGCCGAAGCCUACAAGGCCCUCCAGGAGAUUGAGGCGGCGAAGAAAAUAGCAGCGGGUAAGGCAUUUUUCAUGCAAAGUAAGCAUGUGAGUGUUAAUUACCUGUUGCUUACCCGAAUUCGGAGCUCUCCAGGAGCGUUCGCAGAUCUUCCUAGCAGCGUGUCCGAUUCUGCCGCAUUUUACCGAGCCGAGGAGGGGAGCUCGACGGAGAAGGUCUUCUGGUCUCAGUAUGCUGAGGCCGGACAUCCGGUGCCCCUUAGCGACCAGCUGAAGCAGCUGGUCGAGCUCCACAAGGCGGCCGAACAGUCCAUGAAGGGCCUCAUAGUUCGGCUGUGGCCUAAGGAGGCCAUGCCUGGGAGCUACUUCGGCCUAGUGCGGCGGCUGGUUGAUGCGUGCCCGUGGGUUGAAGUCAUCAAGCAUUCUGCUUGUAUUGAAGGUGCCCGCCGGGCCCUUGCCCGCGCAAAGGUGCACUGGGGCAAGAUGGAUGCCUAG
rnacentral:rRNA from 1 species